ACAUGGGUGGUGUAGUGGUAGCACACAUCCCCGCUACGGAUGGAAAGCGGGUUCGAUCCCCGUCCGAGGUC